GUGAUAAGUGCUGUUGUUCUAAAGGUGUAUUUUGUCCUAGUAUUCAGCCGUCUCGAUUAACAUGAGGUAUGUAUAUGAAAAGGGGGCGUACAAGGCGCUUUAAUACGAAAUAUCAAUAAAUUUUCAUCAAAAAAAAUGUUCACGGAAAAGAUAUAUUUUCCAAAAAUGUGUUGUUGAUAAAAUCAACAUUAACAAUUUUGAUUCAUUUUUAUUGAUUUACUUAUUGACUGAUUUUAUAUGAUUUUUAAAGCAAUUUCAUUUAAGCAAAGUUUGCGGAGAAUGUUUCAAAUAAAAAUUGUUAAAAGUCUCUAUUUUUUGACUCGAAAAAGAAAUAAUCAUUUUAUAAUUUUUGGCAUCCAAUUCUAUCUGAAAAUUGAACAUUUCGGGGGAAAUGAUACGCCCCAAAAAACUUAUUUAUUUGAAAUCCACACUGACAAACGAAAACGAUAAUAAUAAUGGGUAGUGAAGUGCUAACUGCUUGCAAAAUUAAGUCUUUCCACGAUAUCUUGGCAGAGUACAAGUCAUAUGCAUAUGUGAAGUUAUUAUUAUUUUUUAUUAUUAAUUUAAGUGAAAAAAAAGUCUAGUCAGUGGUUCAACAUAAUAUAGGAACCCAAUCUGCAAAUAAAUAUAUGAUAUUAACAGCAAAAUUUUACUUUUAUAAACCUUCAAAAUUGAGAAAGGUCCUAGAGGAUGCAAGAAUAUUCUCAUCUUGUACGCUUCCACGUGCACUCCUUCAUGACAUUUUCCAAUUCUUCUAGUGUCGAAUCAAGUUAUCAAUAUCUGACAUUAUGGAACAAACAUUAAUUUUUGAACUCCCCUAAUCAAAGUUUGUGCCGCCUCAAUUGUUUGAGAAACAAACCCAUGCAUAAAUGAAGCAACCAAGAAAAUCAGUUACAAACAGGUUGUCAGUUCUUAUUAUACCAGAAAACUGAUGUAAGAAAUACGUCAGGUAUUUUAAAACCCGUUUUCUUUCUUAUUUUUACUAAAUAAAUGCUUGCAUAAUGAAAUUUAAAGAGAAUUGUUCCCGAUCAUGAUAAGGGACAAACGGCGGACGUCACCGAUCGGAGAAAGGGAUGUUUACUCCUCCAUGUCACCAAUAUCCCGACUCUGAAGUUUUAGAGGGGUUUUGUUUUUCUUUGCCGAUGAAUAGAAUCCUGAAUGCCAUCUGGAAAUACAUGUAUUCGAUACACAAGAGCAUGCUCUACAUAGAAACAAUUUCUAAAAUAAGAUUUUCCGCUAUUUCCAAAUCAUGACAAGGAGCACAAGGAGGGUUUGACCUGUCGGCAGGGGAUGCUUAAUCAUUCAUGGCAUCUGAUCCUACCUCUGAUGUUUUAGAAGUCUGUGUUUGCUCUGCUCCUAUUUUGUAUUGUAUUGUUUAAUGGCCUUUGACCUUGAAAACUGUUCGUUAUUUCCAUAUAUUUCAUGUACAAACAUCUGGCAUUAUAUUUGCCUCAGUUUUGAAUAAAAAUCCACCCAGUUUAAAAUCUAGAGAUCCAGAAUUGCAGGAUUGUUCUUUAGCAGCCCCAGACGACACACCUCAAAAUCCUGUGUGAGCAUUUUAUCUACAUGUACUUUUGUACCAGAUUUGUACUGAACGUUAUUUAACUUCAAUAAGUUUUGAAAGUUUAUAUUUAUUAUAAAUAAUAAAUUUUCUUUCCUUGAAAGAUUCAACUUCUUUUCUCUAAAUCUAAUUUCUAUCAAAACUAUCCAUUAUUUAAAGGUGUAUAUUAGAGAACUACUGGAUCAAAACCAGGCGUGAAAAUAUAUGGAUGAGCAGUAUUAAAUCAGUGAUUAAAUACAAAAAAUUAUCUGAGACCAGACAUGAAAAGAAAAGAGGAACACGACUGGAUCAGUGAUUAAAUAAAAAACAUAUUCCCGACCAUGCGUGGAAAAUAUGAACAUAUUUGGUGAGUGAUUUGAAACAAAAUUUUAUUCUAGACUAGGCGUGAAAAGAUAUGAAUGAGCACUAUUGGAUCAGAGAUUAGAUACAUAAUUUUAUCCUAAACCAGAGGCGUGAAAAGAUGUGGAUGAGCAGUACUAGAUUGGUGAUACAAAAUGUCAUCCUAGAAAAAGCGUGAUGAAAUACAGAUGUAUGACAUUACAUCCAAUGCGUUUUCAAUCCGUAGCCCGUCUUCUAUCAACAUGUUGCUUGACUGUUUGGCGUUUAGACUUUAUAAUUUAUUUUUUACAACAUUAGUUCUUCCAUCGUUUUAUUAUUUGGCUUUAUUGUCAGCCUAUAUUUUACGUAAAUUUGUUAUUCAUACUUUUUCAAAAGUUUAUUUUCUGUAUUCUUUCCUUUAUUUUAGUUCAAUUAAGUUGUAUAAUUUAACACACUUCCUCGCAUUUUUACACUUUAUUCUAAAUAUUUAAAACAUAUAUAUACAUAAAAUUUAAAAUUAAACAUACAGGAGCUGGGAGUAUUGAAUAUUAUAAGAAUAGCUUGGGCUGGUCAGAAAAAUUUCGGACAAUAUCAUUUAUCAACACAUAAUGAGUUUAAAUAUUUACUUUGUUGGUGUUUUUUGUUUCAUAAUUUAUCAAAGAAACUUAUAAUGCAUUAUUCUAAAAUUAUCAUGUUUUGUUUUCCACGGAGCACAUUUACAACAUUGCAACUUCAAAAACAUGACGUUAUGAAUUUCUCUAAAAUGCUCUACCUUGACAUUUCACACAAGUCUAGCAGGAUGACGUCACACAAACUCUUAAAAAAAAACUGAAUUUACCACUUUGCACUUAGAUGACUAAUAACUGUUUU